UUAAUUAAAGGAGACAGUUUGGAAAUUGUCUGUUGAUUAAAGGGAGGCCAUACUAAAUUUCGGCCGAGAUAUCGUUUCAGUCGUCAUUCUUCCAUUGGCGAUUCGAUUGUUGCUCGUCCACAU